CCUACGGGAGGCAGCAGUGGGGAAUAUUGCACAAUGGGGGCAAGCCUGAUGCAGCGAUGCCGCGUGUGUGAAGAAGUACUUCGUUAUGUAAAGCUCUAUCAGCAGGGAAGAAAAUGACGGUAACUGAAUAAGCAGCCCCGGCUAACUACGUGCCAGCAGCCGCGGUAAUACGUAGGGGGAGAGCGUUACACGGAGUUACUGGGGGUAAGGGGAGCGUAGACGGCAUGGCAAGUCUGGAGUGAAAUGCCGGGGCUCAACCCCCGGACUGCACUCGAAACUGUACGGCUAGAGUGUAGGAGAGGGAAGUAGAAUUCCAAGUGUAGCGGUGAAAUGCGUAGAGAUUUGGAGGAAUACCAGUGGCGAAGGCGGCCUACUGGAC
rnacentral:rRNA from 1 species